CGACCACAAUCUAUCGUGCCUUUCUCCCGGAAGCCACCGCCGGCGAUACCACGGCGACGCCGUCAGCCGGAUCCUUCACUGGCGGCGGGACAAUAGAGCAUCUGCUUCAGUGUUGAAAACAUGCUGGGAAGUAAUAAGGGUGGGGAGAAUCUCCCAACAAGCUCGAAGAGGAAUGAAAGAACUGAUGAUCUCACAAGAACAUCCACUACGAAAAAUAGAAUUUGCAAUGAAGUAGAACCAACCGAAUCUGUGACUGCAGGCCGCUUGCACCGAAACCCAAUUUAAGUUGUCUGGAGUGAGCUCAGCGAAGAAGUUGCAUCAAAUAUGUCUAAAAGUGUUGUUUCGAUUGCUCUGUGCGAUGGU